GAUGAACGCUGGCGGCGUGCCUAAUACAUGCAAGUCGAGCGAACAGACGAGGAGCUUGCUCCUCUGACGUUAGCGGCGGACGGGUGAGUAACACGUGGAUAACCUACCUAUAAGACUGGGAUAACUUCGGGAAACCGGAGCUAAUACCGGGUAAUAUAUUUAACCGCAUGGUUCAAUAGUGAAAGACGGUUUUGCUGUCACUUAUAGAUGGAUCCGCGUCGCAUUAGCUAGUUGGUAAGGUAACGGCUUACCAAGGCAACGAUGCGUAGCCGACCUGAGAGGGUGAUCGGCCACACUGGAACUGAGACACGGUCCAGACUCCUACGGGAGGCAGCAGUAGGGAAUCUUCCGCAAUGGGCGAAAGCUUGACGGAGCAACGCCGCGUGAGUGAUGAAGGUCUUCGGAUCGUAAAACUCUGUUAUUAGGGAAGAACAAAUGUGUAAGUAACUAUGCACGUCUUGACGGUACCUAAUCAGAAAGCCACGGCUAACUACGUG
rnacentral:rRNA from 1 species